GCUUGUGGCGCAAUGAAUAACGCGUCUGACUAAGAAUCAGAAGAUUAUAGGUUCGAUUCCUAAUUUUGAGUG
rnacentral:tRNA from 1 species